CAUUGUUAGCACAUUCUACAGUUAUUCUUGAGAACUAUAGACAAGAAAUGAGAGAGAACUGGGUUAGUCUAAGGCCACAUGGAGAUCUGUCUUGCACUAUGUUGACUUAGCUUAGAGGCCCCGGCUAGAGACGAGUCAGGCCCUUUUCUUGUGAGAUCAAUAAAGUCCGAUCCUCAAUUACCUCCUUGUUUGUCUCUCAGACCCUUGGCCACUAUUCAGUCGCCAUAUGUGCCUCAGAGCCAGGUACCAGACAACCAGGAACAAGCCCACUGAAAUCAUUUCAAGUCAUCAAGCCUGAGCCUGUUUGCCCUGCCUAACCCUUUCAUUCCUGCAGAAACCACAAAAAAAGGUUUUCGCCUACUGCUGCCCUUUAUCCCUCUGGCUCAACUCUGACGCUGGUGCUCCCACGAGUGGCCCCCUGUGGCAUGGCAUGCUGUGUUCUCCCCAGGAAGCUGCAGGAGGAUUGCUUGAGCCUAGGAGUUUGAGACCAGCCUGGGGAACACGGCAAGACUGCAUCUCUACAAAAAUACCAAAAUUAAUCAGCCAUGGUGGCACACGCCUGGGUUCGCACCAGCUACUGGGAAGGCUGAGGCAAGAGGAUUGCUUGAGCCCGGGAGGUCAAGGCUGCAGUGAGCCAUGUUCACACCACUGUAUCCUAACCUGGGUGACAGACUUUAGGAGACAGGAUGUCUGAGGUCAGAAGAUCCCCCUGAUGACCAAACCAGUUAAGACUGAUGAGAUUCAAGAUCCAGCUCACUUGGCCUUUGAAGAACCUCUAACUUCAUUAUAAUUUAUUUUCCAUACUAAAUGACACUCCCACCAGUGCCAUGACAGUUUAUAAUCACCAUGACAAUGACCAGAAGAAAUUAUGAAAGGACGAAAAGGAAGACCACAACUCCGGUUCUGAGGAAUUCUCCACCCAUUCCCAGAAAAGACAAGAAUACUCCUCCCCUUGCUUUUAAUGCCCAAACCCUUCAUUAAAGAUGCCCCAUAUCUGUGA